CCCGGGGUGAGAGGGCGGGGCGGAGAUGCAGCCUACCGCCCGGGCCGGCCGGGCGGGGCGGCAGAGGCUGGCGGGCAGCCGCGCCGCGCUCGAGGCCCAGGAGGCGGUCCAGGCGAGCGCCCGCCUGGCCUCGUACGCGCCGCAGUCCCCCGCCUCCGCUCAGUGCGGCAGCGGCCGCCGGCCAGCCGAGGUUGGCGCCAGGGCCUCCCCCCACCCUCCCGGCGCAGCCUCUGUCCACCUGCCAGCGGGGGAGGGGUGCGGCGGGCGCCUCGGGUCAGAGGUCGCCGGGCCGCAGGCAGUCGUCAUUCAUAAGGCCUGGCGCAGGAUAUCAGGGUCCAGGCCGAGGAGCCUUCUGGGUCUCCCCCAGCCACAGCCAGAUCUUCAGGAGGAUGCUGGGCCCCGGGAACAGGGGAUGGUUGGAAGGGGGCUCUGUGUCUAUCCCUUUGCUGGGCAUCUACCCUGGGCUUGUGUGCGUCAGUAGUAAGAGCUGGCACUCGUUAAAUAAAUUACUUUUCACCACACUCCUAUCACGGAGGUACUAUUAGCAUCACUCCCAUUUUACAGAUGAGGAGUCUGGGGCAUAGCCAGGCUAAGGAUUCCUUUUGUCCCAGAACAAUAAAGAUGACCAUUUUUCUGGGUGCCCUUUUAAAACACAGCCUGAGGUCAGUUUCUCUCUGCCACACUACUGACAUUUGGGGCAGGGUCAUACUUUGUUAGGGAAGGGGGCUGUCUUGCGCACUGAAGGUUUAAAGGCAUCCUGUCUCUACCCACUGGAUGCCAGUAGAAGCGCCCCCCGCCCCCCUGCAACCAUCUCCAGACAUUGUUAAAUUGUCCCCGCUUGAGAAACACUGCAGGAGACCCAAACAGAGGGUGCCAAGAGGGGAGGGGGGCUGGAUGAGCCAGCUAUCUUGACUCAGAGGGCUAGCUAGUCUCAGGUCUACGAGCCAAUUUGCUGUCCUGCCUAUAGGCUUCUACAACCUGCACCCUAUCCAAUAGCUGUCUGCACCCAUGUUCCUAGGUCCACCAGUUUCCGGGAGGGGCAAUGGUUCGGUAUUCGUUAAUUCAGCAUUUACAGCGACCUUCUGGAGCAUAACUCCCGUGAAUAAGGAGAAUCGACUGUGAUCAGUGGCUCAUGGUGACAACGAUGACACAGAGGUGGAGGAAAGGGAAACGUGUGAAGUACUUCUGAGAGGUCAGAGUUCUUGAAAGCAAGAGCCAGAAUUCUGAACCUGAACCACUGAACCACACCGUGUGCUUUUGGACAGAAGAGAAUAAUUCUAGGUGCCAAAGCCUCAGGCCUUGUCUCUCUUACCUGAAAGAUGAACAUGUGUCUCCCUGCUGGAACAGGCCCAACCAGCACAGAGUCUAGGAUUUGAUCAAACUCCUCACUCUCCGCUGAGCCAACAUAAAUGAUCUUCCACUCUAGGUCUGUAAGGAUAUGAGGUGUUAGGGACUUGAAAUAGCUGGGGAGCACGAAGGCAGGGGAAGGGUCUUCUCGAGUUUUGGACAGAUCCUUAAUAUACUGAAAGAGUUUUAUUCUCAAGACCACCUGGCAUCUCCUGGGCACUAAGUGCUGGGCACCACUGUCCGGUACACUGGAAGGGGCACGAGCCUCUAAUUCUAGGGGGGAAAUUUCUCCUGUGAGCCUAGCUUUGCCAAGCGACCUCGACUCUGCACCUCUGGGGGAACUCGGGGAUCUCAGAGCCUGAGGGUGAACCGUAUGGCAGAGGUUGAAUUAGGCGCCACGUGACAGAGGCGUGCUGAGGGAACAGCAGGGAAUUGGGCCAUUUCAGGGCUCUGCCCACUGGGUGCUGGGAUAGGAAGCAGCAUCCUCUUUCACACACAGGGACCGGUGCCACCGAACUGAAUAGAUCCCUCGACAACUGGGGCAUGGCAGCAGAUUCCAAUCCAGCAGGAGAGCCAGACAGCAGGAGGGGGAAGACGAGGCCACUGGGGGAGCCAGCCAGUCCCCAGGUCUUCCAGAUCAGGCACCAACUCAUGUCGGCUCUUAGACCCUUGGGUGACAGUGACUCAGUCAACAAACGUGGCACCAAAAGAUGAUCCUCUGAACCCCAAGUCUUUCAUCCCAUCCAGUGGGGGGGAUCUCAUCCCUGAGUAUGUUCUAGCAAGGUGAAAGGAAAAGUGCUUAAGGAGAGACCCGGCCCAUCAAGCGCCGGAAAUCCCUGGUCACCGCUGCCUCUUGCAGGAGGUCCAAGUGUAUCAGGGGCAAGGUCACGCUAGUACACGGAAGCUUGGCAGGAGACCUGAAACUUAUUUUGGGUUCUUUGAAAUUACACAACCCACAGCUCCAGCAGCCAGGGGCGGGGCGGGGGGAAGUUUCACAGGAAGUAAACUGUUGUUGAAGUUGCCCUGUUUCUUGGUCCAGUGUCCCACAAGAGCAUCCAACUUUGGAAACACAGCUAUGCGGGGCCACAACUACGGAGGUUUGACACCUGAGCCCCGAGCUCUUCCUUGAUACACUGACUUUCUGUCGCUUUGCAGUUUUACCCAGGCCCUCUACUCAGGAAAAAGGAGCCUGAAGGAGAGCAGGCCCCGCGUAGGCCACAGGCACCUGAUGUCCAACACCAUUGGCAAAACCUAAACAGCGACCGGAGUGGGUGCUGACCAGAAGAGAAAGCAUGCUGUGCUGGCAGCCAGGCAAACGGGCCACAACGGCUCCCUCAAUGCGGGCCGUUAAGAAAUCAGAGAAUAACAGAAGGCCAUAGUGAAAUAUUGACUCGAGGUUAGAGGAGCUGCUGAAGUCAUCCAUGGAAGAUAGCAGAUGAUUGAGAUAAAGGCCUACAAAUUGGAUCACCUUAAACUUGCCAGUGUUUUAAACAGAAGCAUUCCUAAGUGGCUUCAUUUUGGAAUAUAACCAUUCUUUAGAAUUAGAUGUGGGACGUCAAUCACGAACACAGCACAAACUCAUUCCUCUGGAAUACAGGACUCAAUUGUACCUAUGAAACAUGGUGCACCUAACUUUUUAGGCAACUUCAAGGGUAACUUGACAAUAUUCAAUUUUGUCUUCACGCUCUAACUUUACAACCGAACACCUGACAACAUGCUCCUCCACUAUAUAUGAAAACAAAACCAAAACCAACAACCUGAUUAAAGCCAUGCAAAAAACUAUCGUUAGUUGAACUAGCUGGAGAGUGUUUCCUGCCUUAAAACACAACACAACACAGAAACCGCCCACGUAGGAGGCUUUUUUCUGUUUAUCACUUUGCUGUUUUUCAUAAUCAUAUAGACGAACCCUGGUCUGACCACGGUGACAGCUGUGGGUCAGAACAUCUGCUUCCAUGACUUAUUCAAACAGCAGCUGUUGAAUUUCUCCAUGAAACAGAGGAAAAACACACGUAAUGUAUUAAACGUGGACCUAUGCCUUGGAAGCAUCUAUUUCCAGUUGCUGAGGAGAGAAAAGAACCAAAGGGGCCCAGAGCCCUUGGGAAACACGGUCAGCCAAUGACUGGGGGUUGGGUCUUUUGUCAGGUCUUCAGUUGCCAGUGUCAAGGUGACAGGACUGAGAUUUCUCCAGAAUCUGAGAGACUCCUAAAGCCAGGCCCCCUCCAUCUGUUUGGGAGUCAGGAAACGGAUUCUCUCUGCUCCAUGGGAAGAAGUCCAGGAAGAGGCAGAGAGCAAGUUGGCAGGUCAGAGUCAUGGAUAGCCCUAGGGAUAGAACCAGAGUCUGGAUUUUCAGGCCAGAGUUUGCUUUCCAACUUGAAUUUCUCUGAGCAAAAGCUUUAUUGUCUGGGUGUAAUUAGUAAUAGCACUCUCCUCAUUCUCUUUUGAGAGUGUCCUGGUGUGGAAACAAAUUCUACGCUCAUUCUAUUUACGUUCCAUUUCUAAAAUGAGGGAUGCAUUCUUUCUUUCCCCGGUUAUAGUAAAAGCGGAGAACUCUGGACUCAGAGACAAACUUUAGUGUCAAUACUUCUACAGACCGGCUGUGUGACCUUGGAGAAGUCAUCUCAUUUCUAUUAAAAAACGACCAGCGGUGGACUUUUGCCUUUCCUGCUCUGAGUCUAUAAACAGAUUAGUAAAGUAACAGGGCGGCAGGGGUUUUCCUAGGAAUAAAACUACUAGAUAAUGACAAUGCAACCAUUUUUAAAUGCAAGGAGCACAAACAGGCUGUUUGAAACCCGAUCUCCUGCCUUCUGGGAACCGUGAAUCCCUUAACCUAUUAGCUCCUUACAUCUCCUCCUGGCUUUAAAAUUAAAUCUUAUUCCACAGUGUCAUUCUA